rnacentral:rRNA from 1 species
AAAAUAAAAUUUGAUUUUAAAAAAAUUUAAUUUUUAAACUAGGAUUAGAUACCCUAUUAUUUUAAGCUUAAUGUUGGUAGUAAGUAAAAAUUAUGAAAUCAUAAAAUUUUGGCGGUAUUUUAAGCUUGUUAGAGGAAUUUGCUCUAUAAUGGAUACAACGCCUAUAUCUUACUUAAUUUUGUAAUUAAAGUCAGUUUGUAUACCACUAUAUUUAAUUAUAUUGAAUAAUUAUAUUUAAUAUUUUUAUUCAAAUAUAUAUUAAGUCAAGGUGCAACAAAUAAUUA